ncrna:unclassified sequences EFASI RNA
AAAGAUCGAUACCGUGGAGGGCAUGAUGCCCCGGAGAAUCCCCUGCUCACGCAGUUAGCCUGUACCGCGUACAGUCUGAAACUCCCUAUACCUCAACAAACUGCCACUUCGGCGUGAAUGUAUCGUUCU